CACGUAGAAGACUAGUGUUAUUCAUCUUUAUUAGGUUUAAAGGGUACCUAGACGGAAAUCAAGCUAUAAUAAGUACUAAUUUUCUAGAGUUUUAUGAAAGAAGGGGUGAAUUUCAGAGGAAAGUUGAUAUUUUGUGAUACUGGAAGGACGGGUAACGGCGAAGGCUAACCUUUUAUGUAAAAACUGACGUUGAGGGACGAAGCCUUGGGUAACGAG
rnacentral:rRNA from 1 species